CCUCUUCGUGAUGAUGAAAUCAUCGCGUAUCUCUUGGCUGGACUUGGCUCAGAUUACGAUCCGUUCAUCACGUCUAUCACCACCAAGACUGAAGCCCUCUCCCUCAACGACGUCUACGCGUAUCUCAUGUGGUUUGAGU
rfam:Setaria italica strain Yugu1 chromosome V, whole genome shotgun sequence.